rnacentral:rRNA from 1 species
AGCAGCCGCGGUAAUUCCAGCUCCAAUAGCGUAUAUUAAAGUUGUUGCAGUUAAAAAGCUCGUAGUUGAAUUUCGGGAUUAGUAAGUUGGUCGUGCCUCCGGUAUGUACUGGCUUUACUGGUUCCUCCUUCUUGAAGAACUGUAAUGUCAUUAAUUUGGUGUUGCAGGGAAACAGGACUGUUACUUUGAAAAAUUAGAGUGUUUAAAGCAGGCUAACGCUUGAAUACAUUAGCAUGGAAUAAUGAAAUAGGACGUUUGAUCCUAUUUUGUUGGUUUCUAGGAUUGACGUAAUGAUUAAUAGGGAUAGUUGGGGGCAUUAGUAUUCAAUUGUCAGAGGUGAAAUUCUUGGAUUUAUUGAAGACUAACUACUGCGAAAGCAUUUGCCAAGGAUGUUUUCAUUAAUCAAGAACGAAAGUUAGGGGAUCGAAGACGAUCAGAUACCGUCGUAGUCUUAACCAUAAACUAUGCCGACUAGGGAUCGGAUGAUGUUAAUUUUUUAAUGUACUCAUUCGGCGCCUUA